AUGUUUGUUGGCUCUACCAUCGCGCCCAACUGGAAACUCAUCUGGCGCGCGUGGGCUCCUUUGUGGAUCCGUGUCUUUGCGUGGCUCGCAAGCCAGGAUCAUUGUUGGUCCGCCGCCCGUCUCGCGCGCCAUGGCCUGCCGCACGAUGACCGCUGCAUCUUCUGCGACCAAGUGCUGGAAACCCUUGAUCACCUUCUUCUACAAUGCCCAUUCUCCCGGAUCAUCUGGCAUGAGAUCUUUGCCUGGUGCCGGCUGCCAAUCCCCCCUCCGGACACUGAUGAAUGCUUCCUUGAGUGGUGGGCUGAUUCUACCAGGUGGGUUCCAGCGGCCAUGCGGAAAGGACUCGCCUCCCUCGCCCUUCUCACGGCAUGGUCCAUCUGA
rnacentral:rRNA from 1 species